rnacentral:rRNA from 1 species
UUAAAUUGAAGAGUUUGAUCAUGGCUCAGAUUGAACGCUGGCGGCAGGCCUAACACAUGCAAGUCGAACGGUAACAGGAAGCAGCUUGCUGCUUUGCUGACGAGUGGCGGACGGGUGAGUAAUGUCUGGGUAACUGCCUGAUGGAGGGGGAUAACUACUGGAAACGGUGGCUAAUACCGC